CCGGUUUUCGAUUUGGUUUGACU
rnacentral:miRNA from 2 species